CCUACGGGGCGCAGCAGUGGGGAAUAUUGCACAAUGGGGGAAACCCUGAUGCAGCGACGCCGCGUGAGCGAUGAAGUAUUUCGGUAUGUAAAGCUCUAUCAGCAGGGAAGAAAAUGACGGUACCUGACUAAGAAGCCCCGGCUAACUACGUGCCAGCAGCCGCGGUAAUACGUAGGGGGCAAGCGUUAUCCGGAUUUAUUGGGUUUAAAGGGUGCGCAGGCGGAGGCACAAGUCAGCGGUAAAAUCGCGGGGCUCAACACCGCUCCGCCGUUGAAACUGUGUCCCUUGAGUGCGCGAAGGGUAGG
rnacentral:rRNA from 1 species